CAAGCGUUGUCCGGAAUUAUUGGGCGUAAAGCGCGCGCAGGCGGAUUGGUCAGUCUGUCUUAAAAGUUCGGGGCUUAACCCCGUGAUGGGAUGGAAACUGCCAAUCUAGAGUAUCGGAGAGGAAAGUGGAAUUCCUAGUGUAGCGGUGAAAUGCGUAGAUAUUAGGAAGAACACCAGUGGCGAAGGCGACUUUCUGGACGAAAACUGACGCUGAGGCGCGAAAGCCAGGGGAGCGAACGGGAUUAGAUACCCCGGUAGUCCUGGCCGUAAACGAUGGGUACUAGGUGUAGGAGGUAUCGACCCCUUCUGUGCCGGAGUUAACGCAAUAAGUACCCCGCCUGGGGAGUACGACCGCAAGGUUGAAACUCAAAGGAAUUGACGGGGGCCCGCACAAGCGGUGGAGUAUGUGGUUUAAUUCGACGCAACGCGAAGAACCUUACCAGGUCUUGACAU
rnacentral:rRNA from 1 species